rnacentral:rRNA from 1 species
UACAGAGGGGGCAAGCGUUGUUCGGAAUUACUGGGCGUAAAGGGCGCGUAGGCGGCCUUCUAAGUCGAACGUGAAAUCCCCGGGCUCAACCCGGGAAUUGCGUCCGAUACUGGAAGGCUUGAAUCCGGGAGAGGGAUGCGGAAUUCCAGGUGUAGCGGUGAAAUGCGUAGAUAUCUGGAGGAACACCGGUGGCGAAGGCGGCUCACUGGCUCGUAACUGACGCUCAGGCGCGACAGCGUGGGGAUCAAACAGG